AAAGGAUGACGAGUUAGGCCUCUAUUUUCACCAAAUAUGUAACAAUAAUUCCCCUCCCGCUGAGGAAUAGAAGCAAAUACAGCAAAUUUAUCACACAACAUUUCCCUUUAAAUACCUCUCAUUUGCACACCACACACACUCAAACACACUUCCUCUUCUUCAUCUCUCUCUCUCCCUAUAAAGAGGGCUCCUUCUUAGCAUAUUAAUUCUUGCUCCUCCAAGAUUUCUCUCUUUCUCAAUAUCCCUCGUUUCCUCAAGCCCUCUAAUCCGACGUGGGGAUUUUUCGUUCCUCGCGAUGGGGAUCGGAUGCUCAUGGUGGACACUUACGCGACGUGGUGGCAAAAGCAGUUGCUGCAGGGUUCAGCAUUUGCGGAUCGUUGAUCAAAGAGGUCUCCCUAAUCGCCAAGAAUCCAAACUUCUACGCUUGGAUUCUGGGUGUUACUUGGGCCUUUUUAUCUAACAGAUGGCAUGGAAGGAUCCAUUCUGAUCUUGUCUAGAGCUGGUACUCGCACGGCCAUGGGGUUGUUCAUGGCGUCUCAAGAUAAAGUGUUAGCACUGCCGCAAGCCAUCAACUCCUUAAUCUUUGCCACGAAUAUCACAUAAGAAGUCGCCGCCGACGAAGCGGAGCUCGACCGCCUUGGAGUUGAACUUGAUGAAUUUGAGGGCGUCGAAGUGGGUGGCAUAUGAGUGCAAGUAAUCCAAGAUUUCUUGGUAGGAAGGGAAUUUCACGUUGUCCCUUUGAGUCCACGGAAAAUCCAGUCGAUGUGCGAGAACCCGGACAGCCUCCAUGCCGUGUAGCACAUCGACCGGAUUCUAAACCACCAAGUCUUGGUCCGGGGGAGGAAGGCGGCAGCAUGCUGGAGGUCGAGCAUCUCGCCACGGAGCUUCUCUUUGUUGGCGUUGAAGAGGUCCUGGGUAAGGAUGGUCUAGGUGAUGGCCAUGCCGACGUUGCCUACGCCCACGACGGUUAUCUUGGUGCUGCGUUUGGUAGGCCAGCGAUGUGUGUGAAGAGUUUUUUUGGUGAGGCCGAGGCCGCCGGGACCCAAGGAGGAGGUGCUCUUAUAUAUGCAUUGCUAGGAAUGAAGUUUUGUGUUUUAAUUGGGAGAUAAGAAUUUGAGAGUGCUAAUUAGCUAGCAUGCCCUUUCAUUAGACCCAAGGGGCAAUGGCCUAGGGGGCCCAAAAUAUGUAAUGUCCAAUGCUAUUAUUGACCCUAUUAUAAAAAAUAAAAAGAAAUAAAUAAAAAUUAUCCAUA